rnacentral:rRNA from 1 species
GUGAGGAAUAUUGGUCAAUGGACGAGAGUCUGAACCAGCCAAGUAGCGUGAAGGAUGACUGCCCUAUGGGUUGUAAACUUCUUUUAUAAGGGAAUAAAGUGAGGGACGUGUCCCUUUUUGUAUGUACCUUAUGAAUAAGGAUCGGCUAACUCCGCGCCAGCAGCCGCGGUAAUACGGAGGAUCCAAGCGUUAUCCGGAUUUAUUGGGUUUAAAGGGAGCGUAGGUUGACAUAUAAGUCAGCUGUGAAAGUUUACGGCUCAACCGUGAAAUUGCAGUUGAUACUGUAUGUCUUGAGUGUACAAGAGGUGGGCGGAAUUCGUGGUGUAGCGGUGAAAUGCUUAGAUAUCACGAAGAACUCCAAUUGCGAAGGCAGCUCACUGGGGUACAACUGACACUGAGGCUCGAAAGUGUGGGUAUCAAACAGGAUUAGAUACCCGUGUAGUCC